rnacentral:rRNA from 1 species
UGGGGAAUAUUGCACAAUGGGCGCAAGCCUGAUGCAGCCAUGCCGCGUGUAUGAAGAAGGCCUUCGGGUUGUAAAGUACUUUCAGCGGGGAGGAAGGGAGUAAAGUUAAUACCUUUGCUCAUUGACGUUACCCGCAGAAGAAGCACCGGCUAACUCCGUGCCAGCAGCCGCGGUAAUACGGAGGGUGCAAGCGUUAAUCGGAAUUACUGGGCGUAAAGCGCACGCAGGCGGUUUGGUAAGUCAGAUGUGAAAUCCCCGGGCUCAACCUGGGAAGUGCAUCUGAUACUGGCAAGCUUGAGUCUCGUAGAGGGGGGUAGAAUUCCAGGUGUAUCGGUGAAAUGCGUAGAGAUCUGGAGGAAUACCGGUGGCGAAGGCGGCCCCCUGGACGAAGACUGACGCUCAGGUGCGAAAGCGUGGGGAGCAAACAGG